rnacentral:rRNA from 1 species
UGGGGAAUAUUGGACAAUGGGGGCAACCCUGAUCCAGCCAUGCCGCGUGUGUGAAGAAGGCCUUCGGGUUGUAAAGCACUUUCAGUGGUGCGGAAAGGGUAACCGCUAAUAUCGGUUAUCUGUGACGUUAGCCACAGAAGAAGCACCGGCUAAUUCCGUGCCAGCAGCCGCGGUAAUACGGAAGGUGCGAGCGUUAAUCGGAAUAACUGGGCGUAAAGCGCGCGUAGGUGGUUGAGUCAGUCAGAUGUGAAAGCCCCGGGCUUAACCUGGGAACUGCACCUGAUACUGCUUAACUAGAGUACGGUAGAGGGCAGUGGAAUUUCCUGUGUAGCGGUGAAAUGCGUAGAUAUAGGAAGGAACACCAGUGGCGAAGGCGACUGCCUGGACUGAUACUGACACUGAGGUGCGAAAGCGUGGGUAGCAA